UGGUCUAAUGAUGACGACUAGUGUAUGAGUCAUGAAUUCAUGAGAUGAAUUCUACGUGUCCAGAAGUCUGAGGACCAA
rnacentral:snoRNA from 1 species